UCUUCAUUCAUUCAGCCACGUCUGUAGAUCCAGAAGAGCUGGUGAAUCCCAUGAUGCUUGGGCCUAGAGAAAGUGCAGCAGCUGCCCCGAGCCCCGUGCUUGGCAACAUUCCCCCCAACGAUGGGAUGCCGGGAGGCCCCAUCCCGCCAGGUUUCUUUCAGCCUUUUAUGUCACCGCGAUACGCAGGCGGCCCCAGGCCCCCGAUCAGAAUGGGAAACCAGCCUCCGGGAGGAGUUCCUGGGACACAGCCAUUGCUGCCCAAUUCUAUGGAUCCCACACGACAACAAGGCCACCCCAACAUGGGAGGAUCAAUGCAGAGAAUGAACCCUCCCCGAGGCAUGGGGCCCAUGGGUCCCGGCCCACAGAAUUACGGCAGCGGCAUGAGACCACCACCCAACUCCCUCGGCCCCGCCAUGCCCGGGAUUAACAUGGGCCCGGGAGCUGGCAGACCCUGGCCCAAUCCUAACAGUGCUAACUCAAUUCCAUACUCCUCCUCAUCACCUGGUACCUAUGUGGGACCCCCUGGUGGUGGCGGCCCUCCAGGAACACCUAUUAUGCCCAGUCCCGCAGAUUCAACAAAUUCCAGUGACAACAUCUACACAAUGAUUAAUCCGGUGCCGCCUGGAGGCAGCCGGUCCAACUUCCCGAUGGGUCCCGGCUCGGACGGUCCGAUGGGCGGCAUGGGUGGCAUGGAGCCACACCACAUGAAUGGAUCAUUAGGGUCAGGGGACAUAGACGGACUUCCAAAAAAUUCUCCUAACAACAUAAGUGGCAUUAGCAAUCCUCCAGGCACCCCUCGAGAUGACGGCGAGCUAGGAGGGAACUUCCUCCACUCCUUUCAGAACGACAAU
rnacentral:sRNA from 1 species